rnacentral:rRNA from 1 species
UACGAAGGGGGCUAGCGUUGCUCGGAAUUCACUGGGCGUAAAGGGCGCGUAGGCGGCCGAUUAAGUCGGGGGUGAAAGCCUGAUGGCUCGAACCACAGAAUUGCCUUCGAUACUGGGUUGGCUUGAGACCGGAAGAGGACAGCGGAACUGCGAGUGUAGAGGUGAAAUUCGUAGAUAUUCGCAAGAACACCAGUGGCGAAGGCGGCUGUCUGGUCCGGUUCGUGACGCUGAGGCGCGAAAGCGUGGGGAGCAAACAGG